AUUGAACGCUGGCGGCAGGCCUAACACAUGCAAGUCGAGCGGAUGACGGGAGCUUGCUCCUUGAUUCAGCGGCGGACGGGUGAGUAAUGCCUAGGAAUCUACCUGGUAGUGGGGGACAACGUUUCGAAAGGAACGCUAAUACCGCAUACGUCCUACGGGAGAAAGCAGGGGACCUUCGGGCCUUGCGCUAUCAGAUGAGCCUAGGUCGGAUUAGCUAGUUGGUGGGGUAAUGGCUCACCAAGGCGACGAUCCGUAACUGGUCUGAGAGGAUGAUCAGUCACACUGGGACUGAGACACGGUCCAGACUCCUACGGGAGGCAGCAGUGGGGAAUAUUGGACAAUGGGCGAAAGCCUGAUCCAGCCAUGCCGCGUGUGUGAAGAAGGUCUUCGGAUUGUAAAGCACUUUAAGUUGGGAGGAAGGGCAGUAAGCUAAUACCUUGCUGUUUUGACGUUACCGACAGAAUAAGCACCGGCUAACUCUGUGCCAGCAGCCGCCGUAAUAC
rnacentral:rRNA from 1 species